AACCCAGACUCCUACGGGAGGCAGCAGUGGGGAAUAUUGCACAAUGGGGGAAACCCUGAUGCAGCGACGCCGCGUGAGCGAUGAAGUAUUUCGGUAUGUAAAGCUCUAUCAGCAGGGAAGAAGAUGACGGUACCUGACUAAGAAGCCCCGGCUAACUACGUGCCAGCAGCCGCGGUAAUACGUAGGGGGCAAGCGUUAUCCGGAUUUACUGGGUGUAAAGGGAGCGUAGACGGCGAUGCAAGCCAGAUGUGAAAGCCCGGGGCUCAACCCCGGGACUGCAUUUGGAACUGUAAGGCUAGAGUGUCGGAGAGGCAGGCGGAAUUCCUAGUGUAGCGGUGAAAUGCGUAGAUAUUAGGAGGAACACCAGUGGCGAAGGCGGCCUGCUGGACGAUGACUGACGUUGAGGCUCGAAAGCGUGGGGAGCAAACAGGAUUAGAUCCCCGUGUA
rnacentral:rRNA from 1 species